GGGAUUGUAGCUCAGUGGUAGAGCACUUGCCUAGCAUGUGUGAAGCCCUGGGUUCAAUUCCCAGCACCA
rnacentral:tRNA from 1 species